rnacentral:rRNA from 1 species
AUUGAACGCUGGCGGCAUGCUUUACACAUGCAAGUCGAACGGCAGCGCGGGCUUCGGCCUGGCGGCGAGUGGCGAACGGGUGAGUAAUACAUCGGAACGUGCCCAGUAGUGGGGGAUAGCUCGGCGAAAGCCGGAUUAAUACCGCAUACGACCUGAGGGUGAAAGCGGGGGAUCUUCGGACCUCGCGCUAUUGGAGCGGCCGAUGGCAGAUUAGCUAGUUGGUGGGGUAAAGGCCUACCAAGGCGACGAUCUGUAGCUGGUCUGAGAGGACGACCAGCCACACUGGGACUGAGACACGGCCCAGACUCCUACGGGAGGCAGCAGUGGGGAAUUUUGGACAAUGGGCGAAAGCCUGAUCCAGCAAUGCCGCGUGUGUGAUGAAGGCCUUCGGGUUGUAAAGCACUUUUGGCGGGAACGAAAGGGACUGUGCCAAUAC